AGAAAAUCAAAUGAACAAAAAUGUGUCUUAAGUUAGGAUUCCCGAGCCCUUGCCCUGUGCCUGGCCCUGUACCCUGUGUCUUCAGUGCUGCGGAGAAUGCAGCACAGACCCUGCCCUCAAGGCUUACAGUCUAAGGCCUGAAUGACUAUGCCCAGCUCCCUCCCUUAAAAUGAAGGCUGCUAUUCCCAGAAGUCAGGGGCAGCCUGGAACCCAAGAGCCUUGUAUCCCUGUCCAGGGCAUUACAUUUCAUGAAGGCAAGAACAGACCAAAUCCUGUGGACUUUUGGCAGGUGAAUUUUGGGGUACCAUGAAUCUCAGAGGUUGUUGUGCGGGCAUGACAUCAUCCAAGUAGUCAGGGAAUUUCUAGAAGGGUGGGGAAACAGAUGUUACAGAAGGACAAUGCCAUCCUGGGAGGAGGGAAUGGAAGAGGCUUCCAUCACCAGGGGAGCUAGCUCUGGCCUUUGUGGCUCCUACUUUAGUGACAUGAGAAAGUCUCUGGGGCUUUCAUGUGAACCUGUUUCAACUCCUGAGGCCAAAUAUGCUCUAUGUGUCACCCGGAGAGUCCCAGCUAAGAGGCCAAAUGAGUAAAAUGCAAGACAUGAAGCUGGGAGGGGUCGGAAUGCUGAUCUGACCUCAGGCUGCUGGAGAGAAGUUAACUAGCUUUUUAAAAUUUUUAUUUAUUUUUUUAAGAGAUAGUGUCUUGCUAUAUUGCCCAAGCUGAACUUGA
rnacentral:lncRNA from 1 species